rnacentral:lncRNA from 10 species
GUUCUCCAGGUGAUUCCAAUAUGCAGCCAGGGCUAAGAACUUCUACUCCAAGCAGUUUCAACAGUUCCUCAUGACCUACCCUACAAGAUUUCAGCUUGUGAAGCUGUCACUUGGAAUCCAGUACCUCAAUUCAGAGGAAAGGACAGAAGAUAGCUUCUAGGGGACAUGCCUGCACCUGGGAGUUAGAAGGAAGGAAAACCAAAGAAGGAGCCAGAGAGGCAGAUAGAGGAGUCUGCAGAAAUAUGGAGAGAGAACCAGGUGGGGUUUCCAUAGGAAAAAGCUGCUUCUCUGUUUCCCCAGCCUAGCAACUGUUUGGCAGUCAGAGUCCCACAUCCUGCUCAACUGGGUCAGGUCCCUCUUAGACCAGCUCUUGUCCAUCAUUUGCUGAAGUGGACCAACUAGUUCCCCAGUAGGGGGUCUCCCCUGGCAAUUCUUGAUCGGCGUUUGGACAUCUCAGAUCGCUUCCA